CAUACAAACUGGUCACUUGUUCUGAUUUUUGCAUGAAGACAUCUUGAGUUGCUUUCCACCCUAGAGUUUGCAGCUAUAAUGGAAAACAUUUUCAGAUCUUCCAUAACACAGUUUGUGUCAGUGCUUAGUAGGAUAAAAUCAUGUUAAGUGGAAGCCAGCUAUAGCUGUUGUUUAUAAUGCUAUAUACACACUAAAGAGAAAAUCUGACGCAGAACUGCAUUGGAAAAUGGUUAUUUGGCCCUGUACAUUAUCACAAAAAUAAUAACUUCUUACACAUGGUUCCCAAAUAUCUCACACUUCAAAUCACACCUCCCACGCACCUCACACCAUGCUCAUUCCCAUAACACAUCAUCUCUGACUUACCAACACUUCUCACUGAUUUUAUUACUUACUUUUCUCCAUAGCCCCCCUGCACAAUUUCUCCAUGGUGUCACAUAUACUAUUCUAUUCUGAGUCCCACUAAUCUGUUCUUUCCCAACAAACCCCAAGACACACUUACAGAAAUACCAACAAGUUUUUCUUUCCUCUUAUCAAUAAAGGAGGCAGUAGUAAAUUAGGUAAAAAUGAUGUCACUUUACACAGAAAAGGGCUGUUCAGUACAGUGGAAAAAUUAGCACAGCAACCAACCUCAGGCAGUCUGUAGUUAUAUUUCACUCACUGUGUUCUUACUCUGCUAGAAACUCAGCAUUCUAGGCUAAAUACGUCAACUGUUUCUGUUGGUUCUUUGGAUUAUCUGAUGGAUGACUGAAUGCAUUAAGUACAGGGAACAGGCCAUUCUUUACUUUAGGAUACAAUAAAAUUUCUUGUGACUAAGAAUUGAGUUUGUUUUAAUUUAGAGGGCAGGAUGUGGCUGUGAGAAGGUCUGCCUGUUGCUGGGGGAUCUGCAAGGUGAUCAAUUGCUACUUUACAAAUUUAACUUCAGAAUCUCAAUUCCAUUUACAACCUUCCAUCAGGAUUGGGGAGACAGAGGCAAGAAGAGGCAAAGUGAUGGGAUGAAGAUAGGGCAACAAAUUUGGGCACAAUCUCUGCAUCUUAAUGUACUAGCACAAUGGCCCAGACUCAGUGUCUAUCUCUGACUAUAAACAAGUGCCUCAAAUAAUCUGUCUAAAGAACAGUAUCUCUAAUCCCAUCUUUCAUCCACUAUCCUUCCAAGACAUGCUCUGGAAGUUCUUCCUUGACUCUCUUUCUAAUGUCUAUCAGAAUUAGCCAUGAGCAAAUCAACAGCUGGUUGAAUAAUGGAUUAAAAGGAGAAUAGAUAAUAUAUGAACUCAUUUCUGCUGAGGAACAAAUUUCCUAAAACAUGCCAACUAAUUUGCAACAAAUAAUAUUUCAUCUAGACUCCUUGGUCCAAUGUAGGUUUUUUUUUUUUUUUAUGGAGUAUCCAAAAACCCUGGACCCAUCCUUGAUAUGCAUUUACUUCUGAGGAACUCUGCAGAGUGGUUAUUGAAGAGUUAAAAUUUAGUGCUCUUUUAUUUCCAAGAGGCCAGGCAUAAGGAGAAAAGAGAAUUGGGUUUCUCGAGGUUUCCAUUAUCUCAAUCAGAGUGGAAACUACAGUCCCCAUUCUCCAGCCACCAAGAGAGAAUAAUAAAAAGCCCUAGUGAAAUGUUUGACAAUAGAACAGGCACUUUCUUACUGAAGAGAUAAAGGAAACAGGCUCAAGUUUCGAGACAGGAUACAAUGAUGUAGGAGUAACGAACUGGUCAGUUGACCUGCACUACUAGUCUGUGGGCAGUGAAAGAACUGAUGUGAAGUAGCUUCAUGUGAUUCACUUAGCCAUUCAUUCAGCAAAUAUUGAGCAUCUACUAUAUGCUAAGUGCAGAACACUAAUAAUAGCUAUGAUUUGCCACUUCCUAGUUCCAGGCUCUACGUUAAGUGCUUUAUAGUUGUUACUUCACCUUAAUUCUCUGUAAAACUCUAUAUGGUAGGUAUUACUCCCCCAUAUUUUACUCAGGAGAAAACUAAGCUCUAUGGUGGAACUAAGUAUUCAAACCCGGAUCUGUCCAACUCUAAUAUCCAUGUUUUUAAACUGCUUUCUAGUAGAGAUUUAAGCAGAAAGUUAGGCAGUUCAUCAGAAUGGUUUUGCUGAAAACAAACACUUGUCCCUGUGUGAGAAGAAUGGCUCUGAUCCUAGUGUUAGCACUACCUUCAUACCAUAAGAAACUGAUACAUACAACUCAAAUAUCAAAAUAAUGUUCUCAGGGCCAGUAUAUGACAAAAGGAACCAUCAUUUUGAUGGUUCUGAUACCAUGUGAUGAGUUACCAUGCCUGGUUUAGAGUAACUAAUAUUAUGGCUACUCUGACUGAUACUAUGAGUGGGAGUAGAGGUGGUUAGAGUUCAAGUGUAUAUCUAGCCACAUAGCCCUCAAGUGAAAGAAAAAUAAGCUGCUUUAAGUCCAGUUUCCUAAUAUCCAAGAUGACACUGGAUAUAAAUUAUUGCUAGGGAAAGCAAAAAAUGAAUUCCUGUUAUAGCACCUCCUCUUCCUUCUUUGCAGAAGUAAAAUAUUUAAUUUCUCCAUACUGGUUCCACUGGAACCACAAGACCAUGGCCAACUGGAAUCUACCCAGGAAUCGUUACUGAAUUCUGGGUAGAUGCAUGUUUUCAGACCUGGUAACUGUGGGCAGACAUGGCACUUAGGAACAAGUUAUGUAUCAGCAUAUGAUUAUCAAGGGGCAGACCAUUCUCAUCAGUGACACUUUUCAUCUCUAAAGAAACCUAGUCAGAAGCCAGCUAGGUUUAUAAUAUACUAGGAAUAUACACUUUUUUCUUUUUCCUUUCUUAAUAGGGACUCACCAUUGGAUCAGUAGCAGGGCAUCUAAAAGGAUAUGUACUUUGUUAGAUCAGCUAGUAAUUCAGUUUAGUCUCCGUCAACUUGAGCUCAAAGUUUAUUUUUGUCUAUUGAUGUUGCUCUUAUAUUUUAUUCUAUUCCUGACUUGGGAAAAAGGCUAAGGUGAACUUUAUUCCUCAGGACUGUUCCUAUUUUAACAUCAACAUAAAGCAAAAUAUAUAAAAACCAUAAAAAAAGAAGUGAUUUUGGCAGACCUCAUAGGAAAAGAUAUGUGAAUAAUCUUCCAGUAGUCACUAUUUACCUAAUUCCAUAAAUCUAACUGUCCAAAAUUACCCUUUUGUAAGAAGGUAGUGAUACCUGCUACAAGUAUGUUAUAUUAACUCAAGUAAAAUGUGAUCCAGAGAUACUAGUGAUUAAGAAGUGUUAUACAAUUGCCUGCUUUCAUAAUGUAGAAUUAUUAUUUCCUUCUAUCUUGAGACUGUUGGAGUAGGUUAAAAAAAUCCUCUGGUCUCCAGAUAUUCAUGUAGGGCAACCAUCUUAUUUAACAUGAGUAUUUAUUUGUCUAUUAAUAGUUAGGAACAAGUCAUCAAAGCUCCACAGUAAAAAGCAAGGUGCCACCUCUCCUUUUUUUGGUAUGAAAUCAAGAUACUGUUUGUCUGAUUUGGCUAAGGUUUUUCAGACCAGAUAAGAACAAGACCAUGAAAGCAAGCUUGUAGAACAGAUGAGAAGACUGAGAUGAAAGUUAUUAGAAAGGCAAAGAUUUUACAAUUCUUUUUCUUGAGUCCUUGGUGCAGUUAAAUAAAUGCAAUUUCUGGCUGACCUUGAAAUUAAGUAAAGCAGCUGAAACAUUCUAAGAGAGCAGAUGUCAAAUUCAGAAAAAACAAGCUAGUAUGGGGAAUGAGGAGCUUAGGAUCCAUUUCUAGCUGACAGUCUCUGUAACCCAAGGUGCUAUCACCUGUUGGGAACAUAGCCAUUUACCUCACAAGGGUGUUGACAGAAUGAAUGAAGACAAAACAAGUUGCGCUUUUUAGAAGAGAAGGGACUUUAAAGGCUUUUUUCCCUACUUCUCUGUAAAAGCUGAAAUGCUUUAAUUGAAGUUGCAAGUUUUUAGUCUCGUGUGUACUUUGCAAUCUGAAAACAAAAGUCUCUUAAGAAAAAGUAGUUUUCUUUUUCUUAGUGGUUUGCUUGGUAUAAACAUACCAAAUGAGAGUGUCCAAGGGACUCUAUUUUCAACCUCUCUAGAAACAGUUGACAGAAAUUGUACUCAGAAGGGGGUGAGAUGAGGAAGGAGGGAGGGAAGAAGGUCUAACAGAGAUUUCAGCCCAUCAGCAGUUUCUCUGUGACUAACAAUUCUGGGCUUUUAUUCCAAAAGCUCUGCAUCAAGUCUAUAAAUGAACUGUUCAAAACACAAAAGUCUGCCUGGAUGUUUCUGCGGAAAGGAAAGAUCAUGACAGUAAUUUAGAUAGAGAGACACUCCUGAGGAAAGCCAAGUAAACGCCAGAGCAGCCUGCCCAUUGGCUUUUAAAGUGGAUCCGACAAAUGCUGCCAGGCUACAGCAGUGGGAUUCUUAAUAUAUUCUUUUAGGCGGGCUUUGAGCUUCAUGCCACACAAUCUUCUUCCCAGAAGGCAGAUCUAAUGGAGUUCAGCCAUUACCCUGCUCAAGUGCCGACUGGCUUUGACAUUUAAGCAAAGCUUCUGCAGACUUUCCUGCCUCCCAGACCUUGAGUCCAUUCCAUUUACUUUAAAUAGACGAGUAGCAUUAAAUUCAAUACAUUUGUUUGGUUCCAUUUCACUGCAAGGGGAUAGGAGACUCAAGUGGUCAGAAGACUGAAAUUACCUCUUUCUACUUGCCAUUUCUGUCAUGGGCAAUGAGAAGAUGACUUUUCAAAAAAGGCAGAAUCAGCUUUAGUCCCCAAAUAGUAAAUAAACAGAAUGUCCUGAGAGACCAGCAAAUCUCAGUGUCUUUUCUUCUUUGGUCAAGCUUAGUCCAUCACUUGAGAAGCCCUCACAGUUCCAUGUCCACAUGGAUCACUGAAAACAGCCCCUCCCUGGGGGUCUGCUUUUUAGUUGCAGCUGAACACUUCUGUUCACAGCCUCUUAAUGGUCACCACCCCAGAGCCUGCAAAGUCCCUCCCACUCCACCACAAUACCAUGUUCACUUGCCCUGGAAACUGCAUUUCUGCAGCUGUGGAUGUAUGAUAUUCUCUCCUUCUCCAUGGCCUGUUUGUCCAUCUCUUUUCUGACUCCAAUACCAGCUCAUCAUGGGUUUGACUGACUAUGGUGGGAGGAGAUGCAGCUAAUGGAUAUAUGCUAUGUGGACACAGGCAUAGGCCACACAAGCCUUUACUGGCUCCCCCAGCCUUACCACAAUCAUGCCAUCAUGCCCGCCAGCUACUUUCCUCAAAUCUAACCAGUCUUUAUGGACAGGUGGCUUUUGUUAGGUAAAUGCCCAACUCCUAUGAUUGCCUUAUUUGUGAACACAUCAUUUCUACUAAGAGUACCUUUCCUGCCCUGUCUUCUUGGGGUCACAUCUGUGUCUUUUAUCAAUACUCACCUUCAACCAAUCCUCCUAAAACUGUGUUGGAUUACCUAUGGUAGAGAUACUUCAUUUUGUCUCUCUUGACAAUCCUCACAUUCAAGCCCACUAAAUUUUACUGUUUUAGCAGCAAUUUCUAAAUCCUUCCUAAACCACUCACCUUUAUAUUAAGCAGCCUUCCACAUCCUCCUAUUCCAGAAUAUAGUCCUAGAAGCAUCCAACUUGUCUUAUAAAACUUUUCCAGGACUUAAAUUGAAGAAUUAAUUGUAUAUGGAGGUUUCCUACCUUAAUCUCAUUAAUCUACAAGAUGUUGAAGUCUUCUUAAUUCCUCUGUUCCUACUGUUUUUCUCCUACUCUUGAAAUUACCCAAUAAGAUAAGAUAUGGUACAUAGUGCCUGGCAUAUAGUAUGUUUUUAAUAAAUUUUAGUCCUCUUAUCUUAACUCCUUGACUAAUCUAUCCUCUCAAAUGUAGGUUUCUUCCUUU